GUGCCCGUAGCUCAGCUGGUAGAGCAUUCGGCUUUUAACCGACUGGUCGUGCGUUCGAGUCGCACCGGGCACA
rnacentral:tRNA from 1 species